rnacentral:misc_RNA from 1 species
UCAAAAAGACCUGCCUGCAAGCGCUGCUUCAAUACCUCACAGGGGAUUCGGACUGCUGUCCCCAAAAAUGUGCUGCAGAAUGAUGAUACAGACUGAACCUGUAUGUCUGGGAGUGUUGGAGCAACAUUUAUAAGCAGAAGUUUACUAGCUUCAAAUAUCCCAGUUCGCAGGCCAUGGCUUGAAAACUGUCCUAGGAUUGCAGGGAUUGAACCCCUGUAUAAUCCCUUAACUCCAAUUUCUGGAAGCUUUGAAAUGAUCUCUGGGAAAGUAAGGGUUGAUGCUUGCACCCGAGUCUUUAUUGUAUCAACAGGAUGCAUCAGAGCACAAGAGAGUGCACAUGAUAUCCCCCCAGCCAAUGCAGAUCUUAGAACACUUCCAGCUGGUAUCUCCAC